rnacentral:rRNA from 1 species
GUUGUAUGGUUAAGUGACUAAGCGUACACGGUGGAUGCCUUGGCAGUCAGAGGCGAUGAAAGACGUAGUAACUUGCGAUAAGCCCAGAUUAGGUAGUAACAACCAUUUGAGUCUGGGAUUUCUGAAUGGGGAAACCCACUUACAUAAGUAAGUAUCAUUAACUGAAUACAUAGGUUAAUGAGGCGAACCGGGGGAACUGAAACAUCUAAGUACCCCGAGGAAAAGAAAUCAACCGAGAUUCCGAAAGUAGCGGCGAGCGAAAUUGGACUAGCCCUUAAGCUUUACACGCGUUAGACGAACGGUCUGGAAAGUCCGACGAUACAGGGUGAUAGUCCCGUAGUUGACGACGUGUGUUCAGUGAAAUCGAGUAGGGCGGGACACGUGAUAUCCUGUCUGAAUAUGGGGGACCAUCCUCCAAGGCUAAAUACUACUGACUGACCGAUAGUGAACCAGUACCGUGAGGGAAAGGCGAAAAGAACCCCUGUGAGGGGAGUGAAAUAGAACCUGAAACCGUGUACGUACAAGCAGUAGGAGCAGGCUUUGUCCUGUGACUGCGUACCUUUUGUAUAAUGGGUCAGCGACUUAUAUUCAGUGGCAAGGUUAACCAUCUAGGGGAGCCGUAGGGAAACCGAGUCUUAACUGGGCGUUCAGUCUCUGGAUAUAGACCCGAAACCAGGUGAUCUAGCCAUGGGCAGGUUGAAGGUUGAGUAACAUCAACUGGAGGACCGAACCGACUAAUGUUGAAAAAUUAGCGGAUGACUUGUGGCUAGGGGUGAAAGGCCAAUCAAACCUGGAGAUAGCUGGUUCUCCCCGAAAGCUAUUUAGGUAGCGCCUCGGACGAAUACUACUGGGGGUAGAGCACUGUUAAGGCUAGGGGGUCAUCCCGACUUACCAACCCUUUGCAAACUCCGAAUACCAGUAAGUACUAUCCGGGAGACACACGGCGGGUGCUAACGUCCGUCGUGGAGAGGGAAACAACCCAGACCGCCAGCUAAGGUCCCAAAUUACUACUAAGUGGGAAACGAUGUGGGAAGGCUCAGACAGCCAGGAUGUUGGCUUAGAAGCAGCCAUCAUUUAAAGAAAGCGUAAUAGCUCACUGGUCGAGUCGGCCUGCGCGGAAGAUGUAACGGGGCUAAGUAGUAAACCGAAGCUGCGGCAAUGUGCUUUUGCACAUUGGGUAGGGGAGCGUUCUGUAAGCGGUUGAAGGUGUGUGGUAACGCAUGCUGGACGUAUCAGAAGUGCGAAUGCUGACAUGAGUAACGAUAAAGGGGGUGAAAAACCUCCUCGCCGGAAGACCAAGGGUUCCUGUCCAACGUUAAUCGGGGCAGGGUAAGUCGACCCCUAAGGCGAGGCCGAAAGGCGUAGUCGAUGGGAAACGGGUUAAUAUUCCCGUACUUCUUACAAUUGCGAUGGGGGGACGGAGAAGGCUAGGUGGGCCUGGCGACGGUUGUCCAGGUUCAAGUGCGUAGGCUUAAGAGUUAGGUAAAUCCGGCUCUUUUUAAGGCUGAGACACGACGUCGAGCACCUACGGGUGUGAAGUCAUUGAUGCCAUGCUUCCAGGAAAAGCCUCUAAGCUUCAGAUUGUAAGGAAUCGUACCCCAAACCGACACAGGUGGUCGGGUAGAGAAUACCAAGGCGCUUGAGAGAACUCGGGUGAAGGAACUAGGCAAAAUGGUACCGUAACUUCGGGAGAAGGUACGCUCUCGACGGUGAAGUCCCUCGCGGAUGGAGCUAUUGAGAGUCGCAGAUACCAGGUGGCUGCAACUGUUUAUUAAAAACACAGCACUGUGCAAAAUCGUAAGAUGACGUAUACGGUGUGACGCCUGCCCGGUGCCGGAAGGUUAAUUGAUGGGGUUAGACUUCGGUCGAAGCUCUUGAUCGAAGCCCCGGUAAACGGCGGCCGUAACUAUAACGGUCCUAAGGUAGCGAAAUUCCUUGUCGGGUAAGUUCCGACCUGCACGAAUGGCGUAAUGAUGGCCACGCUGUCUCCACCCGAGACUCAGUGAAAUUGAAAUCGCUGUGAAGAUGCAGUGUACCCGCGGCUAGACGGAAAGACCCCGUGAACCUUUACUACAGCUUGGCACUGAACAUUGACCCUACAUGUGUAGGAUAGGUGGGAGGCUUUGAAGCACGUACGCCAGUAUGUGUGGAGCCGUCCUUGAAAUACCACCCUUGUAGUGUUGAUGUUCUAACGUCGACCCCUAAUCGGGGUUGCGGACAGUGCCUGGUGGGUAGUUUGACUGGGGCGGUCUCCUCCCAAAGAGUAACGGAGGAGCACGAAGGUGGGCUAAUCACGGUUGGACAUCGUGAGGUUAGUGCAAUGGCAUAAGCCCGCUUGACUGCGAGAAUGACAAUUCGAGCAGGUGCGAAAGCAGGUCAUAGUGAUCCGGUGGUUCUGAAUGGAAGGGCCAUCGCUCAACGGAUAAAAGGUACUCCGGGGAUAACAGGCUGAUACCGCCCAAGAGUUCAUAUCGACGGCGGUGUUUGGCACCUCGAUGUCGGCUCAUCACAUCCUGGGGCUGAAGUCGGUCCCAAGGGUAUGGCUGUUCGCCAUUUAAAGUGGUACGCGAGCUGGGUUUAGAACGUCGUGAGACAGUUCGGUCCCUAUCUGCCGUGGGCGUUGGAAGAUUGAAGGGGGCUGCUCCUAGUACGAGAGGACCGGAGUGGACGAACCUCUGGUGUUCGGGUUGUGUCGCCAGACGCAUUGCCCGGUAGCUAAGUUCGGAAUCGAUAACCGCUGAAAGCAUCUAAGCGGGAAGCGAGCCCUGAGAUGAGUCUUCCCUGAUACUUUAAGUAUCCUAAAGGGUUGUCGGAGACUACGACGUUGAUAGGUCAGGUGUGUAAGUGCUGUGAGGCAUUGAGCUAACUGAUACUAAUUGCCCGUGAGGCUUAACCAUACAACACCCAAGGGGUUU